CCUACGGGAGGCAGCAGUGGGGGAUAUUGCACAAUGGGGGAAACCCUGAUGCAGCGACGCCGCGUGGGUGAAGAAGCGCCUCGGCGCGUAAAGCCCUGUCAGCAGGGAAGAAAAUGACGGUACCUGAAGAAGAAGCCCCGGCUAACUACGUGCCAGCAGCCGCGGUAAUACGUAGGGGGCAAGCGUUAUCCGGCUUUACUGGGUGUAAAGGGGGCGCAGACGGGGAUGCAAACCAGGAGUGAAAGCCCGGGGCCCAACCCCGGGACUGCUCUUGGAACUGCGUGGCUAGAGUGCAGGAGGGGCAGGCGGAAUUCCUGGUGUAGCGGUGAAAUGCGUAGAUAUCAGGAGGAACACCGGUGGCGAAGGCGGCCUGCUGGACUGCAACUGACGUUGAGGCCCGAAAGCGUGGGGAGCAAACAGGAUUAGAUACCCCAGUAGUC
rnacentral:rRNA from 1 species